rnacentral:rRNA from 1 species
AUUGAACGCUGGCGGCAUGCUUUACACAUGCAAGUCGGACGGCAGCACAGAGAAGCUUGCUUCUUGGGUGGCGAGUGGCGAACGGGUGAGUAACAUAUCGGAACGUACCGAGCAGUGGGGGAUAACUGAUCGAAAGAUUAGCUAAUACCGCAUAUCUUCUGAGGAAGAAAGCAGGGGACCAUUUGGCCUUGCGCUGUUUGAGCGGCCGAUAUCUGAUUAGCUAGUUGGUGGGGUAAAGGCCUACCAAGGCGACGAUCAGUAGCGGGUCUGAGAGGAUGAUCCGCCACACUGGGACUGAGACACGGCCCAGACUCCUACGGGAGGCAGCAGUGGGGAAUUUUGGACAAUGGGCGCAAGCCUGAUCCAGCCAUGCCGCGUGUCUGAAGAAGGCCUUCGGGUUGUAAAGGACUUUUGUCAGGGAAGAAAAGGGCGGGGUUAAUACCCCUGUCUGAUGACGGUACCUGAAGAAUAAGCACCGGCUAACUACGUG